rnacentral:rRNA from 1 species
AGAGUUUGAUCCUGGCUCAGAACGAACGCUGGCGGCGUGGAUAAGACAUGCAAGUCGAACGAGAGAAUUGCUAGCUUGCUAAUAAUUCUCUAGUGGCGCACGGGUGAGUAACACGUGAGUAACCUGCCCCCGAGAGCGGGAUAGCCCUGGGAAACUGGGAUAAAUACCGCAUAGUAUCGAAAGAUUAAAGCAGCAAUGCGCUUGGGGAUGGGCUCGCGGCCUAUUAGUUAGUUGGUGAGGUAACGGCUCACCAAGGCGAUGACGGGUAGCCGGUCUGAGAGGAUGUCCGGCCACACUGGAACUGAGACACGGUCCAGACACCUACGGGUGGCAGCAGUCGAGAAUCAUUCACAAUGGGGGAAACCCUGAUGGUGUGACGCCGCGUGGGGGAAUGAAGGUCUUCGGAUUGUAAACCCCUGUCAUGUGGGAGCAAAUUAAAAAGAUAGUACCACAAGAGGAAGAGACGGCUAACUCUGUGCCAGCAGCCGCGGUAAUACAGAGGUCUCAAGCGUUGUUCGGAAUCACUGGGCGUAAAGCGUGCGUAGGCUGUUUCGUAAGUCGUGUGUGAAAGGCGCGGGCUCAACCCGCGGACGGCACAUGAUACUGCGAGACUAGAGUAAUGGAGGGGGAACCGGAAUUCUCGGUGUAGCAGUGAAAUGCGUAGAUAUCGAGAGGAACACUCGUGGCGAAGGCGGGUUCCUGGACAUUAACUGACGCUGAGGCACGAAGGCCAGGGGAGCGAAAGGGAUUAGAUACCCCUGUAGUCCUGGCAGUAAACGGUGCACGCUUGGUGUGCGGGGAAUCGACCCCCUGCGUGCCGGAGCUAACGCGUUAAGCGUGCCGCCUGGGGAGUACGGUCGCAAGAUUAAAACUCAAAGAAAUUGACGGGGACCCGCACAAGCGGUGGAGUAUGUGGCUUAAUUCGAUGCAACGCGAAGAACCUUACCUGGGCUUGACAUGUAAUGAACAACAUGUGAAAGCAUGCGACUCUUCGGAGGCGUUACACAGGUGCUGCAUGGCCGUCGUCAGCUCGUGUCGUGAGAUGUUUGGUUAAGUCCAGCAACGAGCGCAACCCCUGUUGCCAGUUACCAGCACGUGAAGGUGGGGACUCUGGCGAGACUGCCCAGAUCAACUGGGAGGAAGGUGGGGACGACGUCAGGUCAGUAUGGCCCUUAUGCCCAGGGCUGCACACGUACUACAAUGCCCAGUACAGAGGGGGCCGAAGCCGCGAGGCGGAGGAAAUCCUGAAAACUGGGCCCAGUUCGGACUGUAGGCUGCAACCCGCCUACACGAAGCCGGAAUCGCUAGUAAUGGCGCAUCAGCUACGGCGCCGUGAAUACGUUCCCGGGUCUUGCACACAGCGCCCGUCA